GACGAACGCUGGCGGCGUGCUUAACACAUGCAAGUCGAACGGAAAGGCCUUUUCGGAGGUACUCGAGUGGCGAACGGGUGAGUAACACGUGGGUGAUCUGCCCUGCACUCUGGGAUAAGCCUGGGAAACUGGGUCUAAUACCGGAUAGGACCGCACUUUAGUGUGUGUGGUGGAAAGUUUUUUCGGUGUAGGAUGAGCCCGCGGCCUAUCAGCUUGUUGGUGGGGUAAUGGCCUACCAAGGCGGCGACGGGUAGCCGGACUGGGAGGUUGGUCGGCCACCUUGGGACUGAGGUACGGCCCAGACUCCUACGGGGGGCAGCAGUGGGGAAUAUUGCACAAUGGGGGCAAGCCUGAUGCAGCGACGCCGCGUGGGGGAUGACGGCCUUCGGGUUGUAAACUCCUUUCGCCAGGGACGAAGCGGUUUGUGACGGUACCUGGAGAAGAAGCACCGGCUAACUACGUG
rnacentral:rRNA from 1 species